rnacentral:rRNA from 1 species
AGUUUGACUCCGUCGGCUACGAGGACGAACGCUGGCGGCGUGCCUAACACAUGCAAGUCGAACGGAGUUAAGACUUCGGUUUUAACUUAGUGGCGGACGGGUGAGUAACGCGUGAGUAACCUGCCUUACAGAGGGGGACAACAGUUGGAAACGACUGCUAAUACCGCAUGAUGUCUGACUGAGGCAUCUCAGACAGACCAAAGGAGCAAUCCGCUGUAAGAUGGACUCGCGUCCAAUUAGAUAGUUGGUGGGGUAACGGCCCACCAAGUCGACGAUUGGUAGCCGGACUGAGAGGUUGAACGGCCACAUUGGGACUGAGACACGGCCCAGACUCCUACGGGAGGCAGCAGUGGGGGAUAUUGCACAAUGGGGGAAACCCUGAUGCAGCAACGCCGCGUGAAGGAAGAAGGUCUUCGGAUUGUAAACUUCUGUUUUUAGUGAAGAAACAAAUGACGGUAGCUAAAGAGGAAGCCACGGCUAACUACGUG